rnacentral:rRNA from 1 species
CCUACGGGCGGCUGCAGUGGGGAAUAUUGCACAAUGGGCGCAAGCCUGAUGCAGCCAUGCCGCGUGUGUGAAGAAGGCCUUCGGGUUGUAAAGCACUUUCAGCGGGGAGGAAGGCGGUGAGGUUAAUAACCUCAUCGAUUGACGUUACCCGCAGAAGAAGCACCGGCUAACUCCGUGCCAGCAGCCGCGGUAAUACGGAGGGUGCAAGCGUUAAUCGGAAUUACUGGGCGUAAAGCGCACGCAGGCGGUCUGUCAAGUCGGAUGUGAAAUCCCCGGGCUCAACCUGGGAACUGCAUUCGAAACUGGCAGGCUAGAGUCUUGUAGAGGGGGGUAGAAUUCCAGGUGUAGCGGUGAAAUGCGUAGAGAUCUGGAGGAAUACCGGUGGCGAAGGCGGCCCCCUGGACAAAGACUGACGCUCAGGUGCGAAAGCGUGGGGAGCAAGCAGGAUUAGAUACCCUAGUAGUC